AUACGAAGGGAGCUAGCGUUGUUCGGAAUUACUGGGCGUAAAGGGCGUGUAGGCGGUUUGGUUAGUCAGAUGUGAAAGCCCCGGGCUUAACCCGGGAACUGCGUUUGAUACUGCCAAGCUUGAAUUCGGGAGAGGUGAGUGGAAUUCCCAGUGUAGAGGUGAAAUUCGUAGAUAUUGGGAAGAACACCGGUGGCGAAGGCGGCUCACUGGACCGACAUUGACGCUGAGGCGCGAAAGCGUGGGGAGC
rnacentral:rRNA from 1 species